UGGGGAAUAUUGGGCAAUGGAGGCAACUCUGACCCAGCCAUGCCGCGUGGGUGACGAAGGUCUUCGGAUUGUAAAGCCCUUUCGGCGGGGACGAUGAUGACGGUACCCGCAGAAGAAGCCCCGGCUAACUUCGUGCCAGCAGCCGCGGUAAUACGAAGGGGGCUAGCGUUGUUCGGAAUUACUGGGCGUAAAGGGCGUGUAGGCGGCCCGUUAAGACAGGUGUGAAAUUCCUGGGCUCAACCAAGGACGUGCGCCUGUGACUGGCGGGCUUGAAUCCGGGAGAGGAUGGUGGAACUCCCAGUGUAGAGGUGAAAUUCGUAGAUAUUGGGAAGAACACCCGUGGCGAAGGCGGCCAUCUGGACCGGUAUUGACGCUAAGGCGCGACAGCGUGGGGAGCAAACA
rnacentral:rRNA from 1 species